GAUCAUUACCGAGUGAGGGCCCUCUGGGUCCAACCUCCCACCCGUGUCUAUCGUACCUUGUUGCUUCGGCGGGCCCGCCGUUUCGACGGCCGCCGGGGAGGCCUCGCGCCCCCGGGCCCGCGCCCGCCGAAGACCCCAACAUGAACGCUGUUCUGAAAGUAUGCAGUCUGAGUUGAUUAUCAUAAUCAGUUAAAACUUUCAACAACGGAUCUCUUGGUUCCGGCAUCGAUGAAGAACGCAGCGAAAUGCGAUAAGUAAUGUGAAUUGCAGAAUUCAGUGAAUCAUCGAGUCUUUGAACGCACAUUGCGCCCCCUGGUAUUCCGGGGGGCAUGCCUGUCCGAGCGUCAUUGCUGCCCUCAAGCACGGCUUGUGUGUUGGGCCCCGUCCCCUCCCCCGGGGACGGGCCCGAAAGGCAGCGGCGGCACCGCGUCCGAUCCUCGAGCGUAUGGGGCUUUGUCACCCGCUCUGUAGGCCCGGCCGGCGCCAGCCGACACCCAACUUUUAUUUCUAAGGUUGACCUCGGAUCAGGUAGGGAUACCCGCUGAACUUAAGCAUAU
rnacentral:rRNA from 1 species